rnacentral:rRNA from 1 species
GACGAACGCUGGCGGCGUGCUUAACACAUGCAAGUCGAACGAAGUGGCGAACGGGUGAGUAACGCGUAAUCAACCUGCCCUUCAGAGGGGGACAACAGUUGGAAACGACUGCUAAUACCGCAUACUGAAGGAGGGGAUUGCGUUGGAUUAGCUAGUUGGAGGGGUAACGGCCCACCAAGGCGAUGAUCAGUAGCCGGGUCGAGAGGAAUAACGGGCACAACUGGACUGAGAAACGGCCCAGGCUCCUACGGGAGGCAGCAGGGGGGAAACUUCCGCAAUGGACGGAAGUCUGACGGAGCAACGCCGCGUGAGUGAUGGCGGCCUUCGGGUUGUAAAGCUCUGUUAAUCGGGACGCGGUACCGGAAUAGAAAGCCACGGCUAACUACGUGCCAGCCGCCGCGGUAAUAC